GACGAACGCUGGCGGCGUGCCUAAUACAUGCAAGUCGAACGCAGUGGGGACGGGUGAGUAACACGUGGGUAACCUCCCAUCAGAGGGGAUAACACUUGGAAACAGGUGCUAAACCGCUACUGAUGGCUGGACCCGCGGUGCAUUAGCUGGUUGGUGAGGUAACGGCUCACCAAGGCCACGAUGCAUAGGCUGCCUGAGAGGGGGAUCGGCCACACUGGGACGUAGAAACGGCCCAGACUCCUCCGGGAGGCAGGAGGGGGGAAUCUUCGGCAAUGGACGAAAGUCUGACCGAGCAACGCCGCGUUAGUGAAGAAGGUUUUCGGAUCGUAAAACUCUGUUGUUAGAGAAGCGGUAUCUAACCAGAAAGCCACGGCUAACUACGUGCCAGCAGCCGCGGUAAUUC
rnacentral:rRNA from 1 species